rnacentral:rRNA from 1 species
UACGAGGGGGGCGAGCGUUGUUCGGAAUUAUUGGGCGUAAAGGGUGCGUAGGCGGUUUGGUAAGUCUUGUGUGAAAUCUACAGGCUCAACUUGUAGUCUGCACGAGAAACUGCCGUGCUUGAGUGUGGGAGAGGUGAGUGGAAUUCCCGGUGUAGCGGUGAAAUGCGUAGAUAUUCGGAAGAACACCAGUGGCGAAGGCGACUUACUGGACACAUAUUGACGCUGAGGUGCGAAAGCGUGGGGAGCAAACAGG